UUGAUAACAUAAGGGAAAAUAAUGAUAUUACCUUAUUAUUAGUGUCGUCCAAAACUGGUGCCAGAAGACUCGGUAAGGCCAGAGACAUAAACGUUAAUCGUCUUAAUCAGGCGUAAAGGGUUUGUAGGCGGCUUUUUAUAGUAAAGAAUAAAAGCUAGAAUCAAAUAUAGGUUAUAUUAAAUAAUGCUUAGAUUAGGUCUGAUAUCCAUAGAUGCUAAGUAGAAUAUUAAAGGCGAAGGCUUUUUUCCAUUAAUGAUUGACGCUCAGAAACGAAGGUGAGGAUAGGAAAUAGGAUUAGAUACCCAAAAUACCCCUCUCUGUCAACGAUGAAUGGUAGUUAUUAGU
rnacentral:rRNA from 1 species